rnacentral:misc_RNA from 1 species
UUACAAAUGCUAUAUGACUUUGAAUGUCAGCAACAUAAUAUCUUUCGAAGAGUAAAAUUAACAAUGGAAGAAUCGACAAGCGGGGCGAAUAAAAUUACAGAAGAUGAUAUCAACGGAAAUGGUAACACCACGGUUCGAAAAUCCGAAAAAACACAGGAUGAUACUCAUGAUAGGCGGGAAAUAGUUAGCGAAGCGGAACAGGAAAUGCGUAACAGACGUCUUGACGCAAUAACGGUAAAAACUACCACUAGGUCUUGCGCUGCGCUUGAAGUGGCAGCUGGAGUAGAAAAGAAUAAAGUAUUCCCCAUCAAAGCUGAACGUGUAUUUGCUUAUGAAAGCGAUUCUCGGUUAGAAACGCCUGAAAAAAGUCCUGCAGAAGUAGAGUUGUCUCAACGACCAAUUGUUCGAUUGGAUGAAUUUAUUUUGUCUGCCGCUGCAAAAAAAGAAGAGGAAAGGCCAUUUCCUGUUCAAAAAGGUCCAACACCCCGUUAUCUCUGGGAUGAUUUCGGUGAAGAUUUUGAUGCUCAGCAGGCUUUAUCUGAUGCAGCCAACAUAGAAGAAAAAAGACCAUUUAUUGUAAGGCAAGAAAGCGUGGAGGAAACUGAAAAGGAACGCAUUCCAUUGAUGAAGAAUAACGAGAAAACAGGAUAUAACCAAAAAUUGUUAACAAUGCGAACCAGAAAUACGAAUAUGGUCUAUACUCUCUAUUUGACGCACAGUGAACAAACACAAAAUGCACAAUCAGAAUUUAUGCAAAAGAAAACUCCUGAGUCUUCGUCACCGUCGAAAACCUCACUACGAAAAGGGAUAUCUUACUCUGAAGAUAAAUCUAAGAUUGCACUCAUACGUAAGGCAGAGGAAAAAUUUUUCACAAGUAGUACAUCUGGACACAAGGUUGAUGAAAAAACUGUGAUGAGAUACUGCGAUAUCGCAACGGCAAUAUAUCUUGACGAUGAUCUGAACCUGAGCAGAUUUCUUACUAAUGAACUGAAGCACAGCGAGGAAAUCCAACGUCGUAUACUAGAAGCAGUCGAGCUGAACAGUUUGAAGUGUUUGUUGGUGCUCUGUGACACUUAUGAAAAACUUCCCAGUACAACAGAGGAAGAUGUCCAUUUGUUUCACCGCCGCUACGGGCUCUCUUCUUGGCCAUUGAAUGAACGCCCCAAAGAGUCAGCUGUUCACCUCGUUGCAAACAAACUUACGUCCAUUAAAGCGAUGAAGGUUUUAGAAAAGCAUCCGAGAUUCCUGGAUGAAUUUUCAGACAUUCCGGACAGUCAUGGCUCUUCUCCACUUCUUUUGGCGAUCAAAUGCAACAAUAUGGAGGUGGUGAAGCGAUUGCUCGCUAGAAAACCAGACUUAAACAAGCGAAAUAAACAUAAUGAAACGCCUAUUCUUGUGGCGGCCUUAAACGACGAUGCAGAUGUUAUAAAAGAAAUGCUGGAGAUAUAUCCUGAAACUGAACUUCUUGAAAUCAUGAGAAACAUUGAUGGAAAGGGCCAUUCAAUACUUUAUCCUGCCUCUCAAAGCGGUAAACCAGAAGUACUUAACCUCAUUAUGAAGCGAGGCUGGUGGCCCGAUUUUUUGGAUCAAGAGAAGAAAAUGUUUGAAAAAUGGGAAUCGUUUGUGUGCAAUGUUUGUUCAACCGGGUGUAAAGAACUUGCAGAAACAAUAUUCAAACAAAAUCCCAAACUUCUUGAACCAGAAGGUGACAAGUUUACCCCUCUUAUGAGUGCGGCCAAAGCAAACCAAUUGGAGAUUGUCCAGCUUAUCUUCGAAUUCAGGGCGGAUUAUAGUCUUUUUAUGACUUGUGAUGGAAAAGGCAGGAAUGUCUUUCACUAUUCCGUUGAAAACCCAGAUAUUCUACGUUAUCUUCUUGAACAGUACGAAAAGGUCAGCAUUGAUAAACAUGAUGUUAAUAAAAUGGACAACUUGGAAAACACUCCAAUAAAACUUGCCGCAGUUAGAAAAUUGAAAGAGAGUUUCAAAAUUCUCUUGCAAUUCACGACAAGUGAAGCGGAUAUAUUUUCAGCUCAUCUUAUUCAUAAUGUGGACUUUGAGGUUUUGAAGAUGGGUCUUCUUAUCUGGAAGGAAAAGGACCCCGAAGCAGUAGCUUGUCUGCUAAAUGGCGAUCACAAGCAACAUCAACCGUUUUUGGAAGCUGCUAAAAAAGGAAACAUUCAGUUGAUGCAGUUUUUCUUGGAACAAGGAGCAAAUCAUUCACAAAGAACUCCAAAUGAUCAAACUGCUAUUCAUUACGCCGUGCUUUCUGGAAAGCUUGCUGCGGUGCAAUUCCUGCUGAAAAAAGAAGAGUUUUUAGAAAUGAUCAAUUUUACAGAUGACGUAAACAUUACUGCGGCUGGUUAUGCAACACAGAGUGGAAACGUGGAGAUACUCAGAUAUCUGUUGGAUAAUAAUGCGAAGAUGAAAAGUGACACAAAAACGGCCAGACUCAACAUUUUAGAUUGUGCCUAUGGAUAUUUUAAAACUGGCGAGAAUUCUCUUAAAGAAAUUAUUAGGUUUUCUACAAGGGAUGGAAAAAUCCAAAUUUUACAAGAGUUAUUUGAAGACUCGUAUUUCGGUGCGGAUCGUAUAAUGUCGCAGCUGAUCGAAAAAACACCAGACGUCGCCAUGAUGAUUUUUGACCUCUGUGUUUAUCAAGAUGAAUAUCUCACUCACCGUUCUUAUGGUGAAAUGGAAGUAGAAAGAAGAGUGUCGUACUCGUUUUUUCCUUUCAAACGAAACAACCCUGAAGACAAACCUGGCGGCAAGCUUGAAGCUAUCGAAAGUAUGGUUAACUUCAGAAGGGACAACUGUUUGGGUCAUCCACUAGUUUUAAGGUUUUUGAGCCAUAAAAUUAAUUCGUCAAGAAUUCAAAAAUGGUUCUUUUUCAAUAUUCUUCUUUACGCUGCUUUUUUAUUCACCUUGACCGCAUAUGGCACCAUCGAGAGUCAAGGAAUUUACAAUUUGAAAUCACCAGGAAUGAUUGCAUUAUCGCUAAUUAUUUUGAUCUUUUGUGCACUUCAUUUCAUCAAAGAAGUACUUCAGUUUGUUCUAAGUACUGCUAAUUAUAUAAGGGACUUCGAAAAUUACAUCGAAUGGGUGAUAUUCAUCUGCGCUGUCAUUUAUGUGGUGCCUGGAAGUAGUAAGAAGGCGGAAAUACAGAUAGGAGCUGGUGCUAUAUCGGUAUUCCUGGGUUGGAUCAACUUUUCUUUGUUCUUGAAAAGGUUUUCAUUGUUUGGGAUCUACAUCAUCAUGGCGAAAAGAGUUUUUCUCACUGUCUGUGUUACCACUCGUUUUGUUGUUCAUCGUUGCGUUCUCGUUGUCAUUUUCGCUGCUUAUUCCCGUGGAUCAAGGUUUCAAAAAUAUUCCAGUUUCUAUUUUGACAACAUUCGUCAUGAUGACGGGAGAGUUGGACUAUCGGGAUAUCUUUCUCCCAAGCAGACCACUUCACGUUUUGCAGAAAGUUCUUCUUGUGCUAUUUAUUCUUAUGAUCUCAAUCGCUGUAAUGAAUUUAUUGACUGGUCUGGCUGUUGAUGAUAUUAAUGACAUUAUGACUCGUUCGAAAGAGGAGAAAAGAAUUUUUAGGGCGAAGCUUGUCAUUACAUUGGAAAGAAAUCUACGCAAUGUUCCAUUCUUCUCACUGCCUAAAAAUUUAGAUGGCCUGGAGGACUUUCCGGA